UGAGAGCACUACCUGGAAUGGAAUCCAGGGGCAAGCACAGGAGGGGUACGGCUGGAAAAACCGCCGUGCAACCCAAAGGUGUGACGCAUACCGAACUAAAGUAGGGAAAUGUGUGAGCCGGCUGCCGAGAAAAGCCGCUAUUGUUUGUACUGUACCCGUACCGUAAACCGACACAGGUGGAUGAGGAGAGAAUCCUAAGGCCGACGGAAGAAGCAUUGCUAAGGAACUCGGCAAAAUGACCCUGUAACUUCGGGAGAAAGGGUGCCUCGAAAGAGGCCGCAGAGAAUAGGCCCAAGCAACUGUUUAGCAAAAACACGGGUCUAUGCAAAACCGCAAGGUGAAGUAUAUGGGCUGACGCCUGCCCGGUGCUGGAAGGUUAAGGGGAGAUGUCAGGAGACGAAGCAUCGAACUUAAGCCCCAGUAAACGGCGGCCGUAACAAUAACGGUCCUAAGGUAGCGAAAUUCCUUGUCGGGUAAGUUCCGACCCGCACGAAAGGCGUAAUGAUUUGGGCGCUGUCUCGGCAAUGCAUCCGGUGAAAUUGAAGUGCCAGUGAAGAUGCUGGCUACCCGCGCCAGGACGGAAAGACCCCAUGGAGCUUUACUCCAGCUUGAUACUGGGAUCCGGUAUUGUAUGUACAGGAUAGGUGGGAGGCUGAGAAAUGGUGACGCCAGUCGCCAUGGAGCCGCUGUUGGGAUACCACCCUUGCAGUACUGGAUUUCUAACCAGCAGCCGUGAUCCGGCUGGGGGACAAUGUCAGGUGGGGAGUUUGACUGGGGCGGUCGCCUCCGAAAGGGUAUCGGAGGCGCUCAAAGGUUCCCUCAGAAUGGUCGGAAACCAUUCGAAGAGUGCAAAGGCAGAAGGGAGCUUGACUGCGACACCGACGGGUGGGGCAGGUACGAAAGUAGGACUUAGUGAUCCGGUGGUAUUAAGUGGGAAUGCCAUCGCUCAACGGAUAAAAGCUACCCUGGGAUAACAGGCUUAUCACUCCCAAGAGUUCACAUCGACGGAGUGGUUUGGCACCUCGAUGUCGGCUCAUCGCAUCCUGGGGCUGUAGUAGGUCCCAAGGGUUGGGCUGUUCGCCCAUUAAAGCGGUACGCGAGCUGGGUUCAGAACGUCGUGAGACAGUUCGGUCCCUAUCCGGCGUGGGCGUAGGAUAUUUGAGAGGAGCUGACCUUAGUACGAGAGGACCGGGUUGGACUGACCUCUGGUGCACCGGUUGUCAUGCCAAUGGCACAGCCGGGUAGCCAAGUCGGGAAGGGAUAAACGCUGAAGGCAUCUAAGCGUGAAGCCCCCCUCAAGAUGAGAUAUCCCCCGCAUAAGCGGUAAGACCCCUUGAAGACGACGAGGUAGAUAGGGCAGAGGUGGAAGUGCAGUAAUGUAUGGAGCUGACUGCUACUAAUAGGUCGAAGGCUUAACC
rnacentral:rRNA from 1 species